rnacentral:rRNA from 1 species
UACAGAGGUCCCAAGCGUUGUUCGGAAUCACUGGGCGUAAAGGGUGUGUAGGCUGUGCGUUAAGUCAGAUGUGAAAGCCCAGGGCUCAACCUUGGAACUGCAUCCGAUACUGGCGUGCUAGAGAAUUGGAGAGGAGUCUAGAAUUCACGGUGUAGCAGUGAAAUGCGUAGAUAUCGUGAGGAAUACCAAGUGCGAAGGCAGGACUCUGGACAUUUUUUCUGACGCUGAGACACGAAGGCUAGGGGGAGCAAACGGG